AACAGCAGGCAUGGACGCUUUACUGCGUUACCCGGGCAAGGUGGUGAUCGUGACUGGUGGCACCUCAGGCAUCGGUCUGGCCACUGUGAGAGAAUUCGUUCGCCAGGGAGCCAAUGUGGUCUUCUGUUCACGAGCCUGCGGAGCGGAAUAGGGGCGAGCGAUUCAGAGGGACCUGCAGGCUUCUGGGGGCCCAGGCCAAGCCUGCUACCAGGUCUGUGACAUUCGCAAGGAGUCAGACAUCAAGAGGUUGAUUCGGACCACUGUAGAACGUUUCGGAUGCCUGGACUGCCUGGUGAACAAUGCUGGAAAUGCUUAUUUAGAAUCGUCAGAUGACAUCACUGCCCAAGACUUUGAAAACCUCAUGGAACUCAAUGUUGUGAGCUAUUU